CGGUGCCUGGAAUGGCCCAUGGUCGAAAUAGUUUACUGCCAUGGGAUGGGACUGCGGCCUAUCAGCUUGUUGGUGAGGUAAUGGCCCACCAAGGCUAUAACAGGUACGGGCUCUGAGAGGAGAAGCCCGGAGAUGGGUACUGAGACACGGACCCAGGCCCUAUGGGGCGCAGCAGGCGAGAAACCUUAGCAAUGUGCGAAAGCACGACUGGGUCAGUCCGAGUGAUUUCUGAUAAAGGAAUCUUUUGCCCGUCCUAAAAGCACGGGCGAAUAAGGGGUGGGCAAGUCUGGUGUCAGCCGCCGCGGUAAUACCAGCACCUCGAGUGGUCAGGACGAUUAUUGGGCCUAAAGCAUCCGUAGCUGGUCUUGCAAGUCUCCGGUUAAAUCCACCUGCUCAACAGAUGGGCUGCUGGAGAUACUACAAGACUAGGGAGUGGGAGAGGCAGACGGUAUUCGGGGGGUAGGGGUAAAAUCCUCUGAUCCUUUGAGGA
rnacentral:rRNA from 1 species